rnacentral:rRNA from 1 species
UACGGAGGGUGCGAGCGUUGUCCGGAAUCAUUGGGCGUAAAGGGCGCGUAGGUGGCCUGGUCAGCGUGCGGUGAAAGCCUGGGGCUCAACCCCGGGUCGGCCGUGCGAACUGCUGGGCUUGAGCACUGUAGAGGCAGGCGGAAUUCCGGGUGUAGCGGUGGAAUGCGUAGAGAUCCGGAAGAACACCGGUGGCGAAGGCGGCCUGCUGGGCAGUUGCUGACACUGAGGCGCGACAGCGUGGGGAGCAAACAGGG